AUUGAACGCUGGCGGCAGGCCUAACACAUGCAAGUCGAGCGGAUGAAGGGAGCUUGCUCCUGGCUUCAGCGGCGGACGGGUGAGUAAUGCCUAGGAAUCUGCCUGGUAGUGGGGGAUAACGUACGGUAACGGGCGCUAAUACCGCAUACGUCCUGAGGGAGAAAGUGGGGGAUCUUCGGACAUCACGCUAUCAGAUGAGCCUAGGUCGGAUUAGCUAGUUGGUGGGGUAAAGGCCUACCAAGGCGACGAUCCGUAACUGGUCUGAGAGGAUGAUCAGUCACACUGGAACUGAGACACGGUCCAGACUCCUACGGGAGGCAGCAGUGGGGAAUAUUGGACAAUGGGCGAAAGCCUGAUCCAGCCAUGCCGCGUGUGUGAAGAAGGUCUUCGGAUUGUAAAGCACUUUAAGUUGGGAGGAAGGGCAGUAAGUUAAUACCUUGCUGUUUUGACGUUACCAACAGAAUAAGCACCGGCUAACUUCGUG
rnacentral:rRNA from 1 species